CCGAGUUUACAACUCCCAAACCCUUAUGUGAACCGUACCUAUCGUUGCUUCGGCGGGAACGCCCCGGCGCCCUGCGCCCGGAUCCAGGCGCCCGCCGGAGACCCCAAACUCUUGUGUUUUUUUCAGUAUUCUCUGAGUGGCAAACGCAAAAAUAAAUCAAAACUUUUAACAACGGAUCUCUUGGCUCUGGCAUCGAUGAAGAACGCAGCGAAAUGCGAUAAGUAAUGUGAAUUGCAGAAUUCAGUGAAUCAUCGAAUCUUUGAACGCACAUUGCGCCCGUUAGCAUUCUAGCGGGCAUGCCUGUCCGAGCGUCAUUUCAACCCUCAGGGUCCCCGUUCCGGCGGGGAACCUGGUGUUGGGGAUCGGCCCGCCCCGUGCGGCGCCGUCCCCCAAAUUCAGUGGCGGUCUCGCUGCAGCCUCCCCUGCGUAGUAGUUACAACCUCGCAUCGGAGCUCAGCGCGGCCACGCCGUAAAACCCCCGACUUUCUGAACGUUGACCUCGGAUCAGGUAGGAAUACCCGCUGAACUUA
rnacentral:rRNA from 1 species